rnacentral:rRNA from 1 species
GAGUUUGAUCCUGGCUCAGGAUGAACGCUGACAGAAUGCUUAACACAUGCAAGUCAACUUGAACUUCGGUUUGGGUGGCGGACGGGUGAGUAACGCGUAAAGAACUUGCCUCACAGCUAGGGACAACAUUUAGAAAUGAAUGCUAAUACCUAAUAUUAUGAUAAUAGGGCAUCCUAGAAUUAUGAAAGCUAUAUGCGCUGUGAGAGAGCUUUGCGUCCCAUUAGCUAGUUGGAGAGGUAACGGCUCACCAAGGCGAUGAUGGGUAGCCGGCCUGAGAGGGUGAUCGGCCACAAGGGGACUGAGACACGGCCCUUACUCCUACGGGAGGCAGCAGUGGGGAAUAUUGGACAAUGGACCAAGAGUCUGAUCCAGCAAUUCUGUGUGCACGAUGAAGUUUUUCGGAAUGUAAAGUGCUUUCAGUUGGGAAGAAAAAAAUGACGGUACCAACAGAAGAAGUGACGGCUAAAUACGUGCCAGCAGCCGCGGUAAUACGUAUGUCACGAGCGUUAUCCGGAUUUAUUGGGCGUAAAGCGCGUCUAGGUGGUUAUGUAAGUCUGAUGUGAAAAUGCAGGGCUCAACUCUGUAUUGCGUUGGAAACUGUGUAACUAGAGUACUGGAGAGGUAAGCGGAACUACAAGUGUAGAGGUGAAAUUCGUAGAUAUUUGUAGGAAUGCCGAUGGGGAAGCCAGCUUACUGGACAGAUACUGACGCUGAAGCGCGAAAGCGUGGGUAGCAAACAGGAUUAGAUACCCUGGUAGUCCACGCCGUAAACGAUGAUUACUAGGUGUUGGGGGUCGAACCUCAGCGCCCAAGCAAACGCGAUAAGUAAUCCGCCUGGGGAGUACGUACGCAAGUAUGAAACUCAAAGGAAUUGACGGGGACCCGCACAAGCGGUGGAGCAUGUGGUUUAA